rnacentral:rRNA from 1 species
AUUGAACGCUGGCGGCAUGCCUUACACAUGCAAGUCGAACGGUAACAGGUCUUCGGAUGCUGACGAGUGGCGAACGGGUGAGUAAUGUAUCGGAACGUGCCCAGUCGUGGGGGAUAACUGCUCGAAAGAGCAGCUAAUACCGCAUACGACCUGAGGGUGAAAGCGGGGGAUCGCAAGACCUCGCGCGAUUGGAGCGGCCGAUAUCAGAUUAGGUAGUUGGUGGGGUAAAGGCUCACCAAGCCAACGAUCUGUAGCUGGUCUGAGAGGACGACCAGCCACACUGGGACUGAGACACGGCCCAGACUCCUACGGGAGGCAGCAGUGGGGAAUUUUGGACAAUGGGCGCAAGCCUGAUCCAGCCAUGCCGCGUGCGGGAUGACGGCCUUCGGGUUGUAAACUGCUUUUGUACGGAGCGAAAAGGCUCUCUCUAAUACAGGGGGCUCAUGACGGUACCGUAAGAAUAAGCACCGGCUAACUACGUGCCAGCCGCCGCAGUAAUAC